UAAGAGGUCCCGCCUGCCCUGUGACUAUAAGUUUAACGGCCGCGGUAUUUUGACCGUGCGAAGGUAGCGCAAUCACUUGUCUCUUAAAUGGGGACCUGUAUGAAUGGCACCACGAGGGCUUAACUGUCUCCACUUUCCAGUCAAUGAAAUUGAUCUCCCCGUGCAGAAGCGGGGAUAAAAACAUAAGACGAGAAGACCCUAUGGAGCUUUAGACACUAAAGCAGAUCAUGUUAAACAUCCCUGAAUAAAGGACAAAACCAAAUGAAACCUGCCCUAAUGUCUUUGGUUGGGGCGACCGCGGGGAAAUACAAAACCCCCACGUGGAAUGAGAGCACCCCUCUUAAAACCAAGAGUUCCCACUCUAACUAACAGAAUUUCUGACCAACAAGAUCCGGCCUUGCCGAUCAACGGACCGAGUUACCCUAGGGAUAACAGCGCAAUCCCCUUCUAGAGCCCAUAUCGACAAGGGGGUUUACGACCUCGAUGUUGGAUCAGGACAUCCUAAUGGUGCAGCCGCUAUUAAGGUUCG
rnacentral:rRNA from 1 species